rnacentral:tRNA from 1 species
GGAGGGUAACCGAAUGGUUAGGAGGCUGAUUCGAAAUCAGUUGUUGGGCAACCAAUUGCGGGUUCGACUCCCGUGCCCUCCG